rnacentral:rRNA from 1 species
UACGUAGGAGGCGAGCGUUGUCCGGAAUCACUGGGCGUAAAGGGCGCGUAGGCGGCCUGGCAAGUGGAAGGUGAAAUCCCUCGGCUUAACCGAGGAACUGCCCUCCAAACUGCUUGGCUUGAGUCCGGGAGAGGUGAGUGGAAUUCCCAGUGUAGCGGUGAAAUGCGUAGAUAUUGGGAGGAACACCAGUGGGCGAAGGCGGCUCACUGGACCGGAACUGACGCUGAGGCGCGAAAGCGUGGGGAGCAAACGGG